CCUACGGGAGGCAGCAGUGGGGAAUAUUGCACAAUGGGCGCAAGCCUGAUGCAGCAACGCCGCGUGAGGGACGACGGCCUUCGGGUUGUAAACCUCUUUUAGUAGGGAAGAAGCGAAAGUGACGGUACCUGCAGAAAAAGCACCGGCUAACUACGUGCCAGCAGCCGCGGUAAUACGUAGGGUGCAAGCGUUAUCCGGAAUUAUUGGGCGUAAAGAGCUCGUAGGCGGUUUGUCGCGUCUGCUGUGAAAACUGGAGGCUCAACCUCCAGCCUGCAGUGGGUACGGGCAGACUAGAGUGCGGUAGGGGAGAUUGGAAUUCCUGGUGUAGCGGUGGAAUGCGCAGAUAUCAGGAGGAACACCGAUGGCGAAGGCAGAUCUCUGGGCCGUAACUGACGCUGAGGAGCGAAAGCAUGGGGAGCGAACAGGAUUAGAUACCCUGGUAGUCCAUGCCGUAAACGUUGGGAACUAGAUGUAGGGACCAUUCCACGGUUUUCUGUGUCGCAGCUACGACAUUAACGUUACCCCGUCCCGUCGGGAGGUACGGCCGGCGACGGACGUAAACGUACAAGAAGUAGUAGACGCGNGAGACGCGACGACGACGACGACGGAGGAG
rnacentral:rRNA from 1 species